rnacentral:rRNA from 1 species
UACGAAGGGUGCAAGCGUUACUCGGAAUUACUGGGCGUAAAGCGUGCGUAGGUGGUUUGUUAAGUCUGCUGUGAAAGCCCCGGGCUCAACCUGGGAACUGGCAGUGGAUACUGGCAAGCUAGAGUGCUGUAGGGGAGACUGGAAUUCCUGGUGUAGCGGUGAAAUGCGCAGAUAUCAGGAGGAACACCGGUGGCGAAGGCAGCCCCCCUGGGUCAAGACUGACGCUCAUGCACGAAAGCGUGGGGAGCAAACAGG